rnacentral:rRNA from 1 species
CCUGUGAGGGUUGCUGGAGGUAUCAGAAGUGCGAAUGCUGACAUAAGUAACGAUAAAGCGGGUGAAAAGCCCGCUCGCCGGAAGACCAAGGGUUCCUGUCCAACGUUAAUCGGGGCAGGGUGAGUCGACCCCUAAGGCGAGGCCGAAAGGCGUAGUCGAUGGGAAACAGGUUAAUAUUCCUGUACUUGGUGUUACUGCGAAGGGGGGACGGAGAAGGCUAUGUUAGCCGGGCGACGGUUGUCCCGGUUUAAGCAUGUAGGCGGAGGUUCCAGGUAAAUCCGGUACCUUUUAACGCUGAGGUGUGAUGACGAGGCACUACGGUGCUGAAGUAACAAAUGCCCUGCUUCCAGGAAAAGCCUCUAAGCAUCAGGUAACAUUAAAUCGUACCCCAAACCGACACAGGUGGUCAGGUAGAGAAUACCAAGGCGCUUGAGAGAACUCGGGUGAAGGAACUAGGCAAAAUGGUGCCGUAACUUCGGGAGAAGGCACGCUGGUGUGUAGGUGAAGUCCCUGCGGAUGGAGCUGAGACCAGUCGAAGAUACCAGCUGGCUGCAACUGUUUAUUAAAAACACAGCACUGUGCAAACACGAAAGUGGACGUAUACGGUGUGACGCCUGCCCGGUGCCGGAAGGUUAAUUGAUGGGGUUAUCCGUAAGGAGAAGCUCUUGAUCGAAGCCCCGGUAAACGGCGGCCGUAACUAUAACGGUCCUAAGGUAGCGAAAUUCCUUGUCGGGUAAGUUCCGACCUGCACGAAUGGCGUAAUGAUGGCCAGGCUGUCUCCACCCGAGACUCAGUGAAAUUGAACUCGCUGUGAAGAUGCAGUGUACCCGCGGCAAGACGGAAAGACCCCGUGAACCUUUACUAUAGCUUGACACUGAACAUUGAGCCUUGAUGUGUAGGAUAGGUGGGAGGCUUUGAAGCGUGGACGCCAGUCUGCGUGGAGCCAACCUUGAAAUACCACCCUUUAAUGUUUGAUGUUCUAACGUUGGCCCGUAAUCCGGGUUGCGGACAGUGUCUGGUGGGUAGUUUGACUGGGGCGGUCUCCUCCCAAAGAGUAACGGAGGAGCACGAAGGUUAGCUAAUCCUGGUCGGACAUCAGGAGGUUAGUGCAAUGGCAUAAGCUAGCUUGACUGCGAGCGUGACGGCGCGAGCAGGUGCGAAAGCAGGUCAUAGUGAUCCGGUGGUUCUGAAUGGAAGGGCCAUCGCUCAACGGAUAAAAGGUACUCCGGGGAUAACAGGCUGAUACCGCCCAAGAGUUCAUAUCGACGGCGGUGUUUGGCACCUCGAUGUCGGCUCAUCACAUCCUGGGGCUGAAGUAGGUCCCAAGGGUAUGGCUGUUCGCCAUUUAAAGUGGUACGCGAGCUGGGUUUAGAACGUCGUGAGACAGUUCGGUCCCUAUCUGCCGUGGGCGCUGGAGAAUUGAGGGGGGCUGCUCCUAGUACGAGAGGACCGGAGUGGACGCAUCACUGGUGUUCGGGUUGUCAUGCCAAUGGCACUGCCCGGUAGCUAAAUGCGGAAGAGAUAAGUGCUGAAAGCAUCUAAGCACGAAACUUGCCCCGAGAUGAGUUCUCCCUGAGACUUUAAGUCUCCUGAAGGAACGUUGAAGACGACGACGUUGAUAGGCCGGGUGUGUAAGCGCAGCGAUGCGUUGAGCUAACCGGUACUAAUGAACCGUGAGGCUUAACCUU